UUAUAAAAAGAAGAUGGGGUUCUGGCUAAUUUAAAAGACGGAAAGAGAAUUUAGCUUGGAUACACUAAAAUAAAUUAAUUUUUCUGUAGGACCUUGGAGAAGAUUCCGAUUCAAUGGGCAAUCAGCUGAAUUUACACUAUAGCAGCAUGUAAACUGAGUAACCAGAUGUGUACUUGAAUUUCCUGAAUUUUAUGUAUCAUCUGGAUGAAGCAUCUGGAUCCACCUCAUUGUGUAGCCUUUACUGACACAAAAUAUUUUGGACUGGCAGGUAAAGGAAACCAGAAUCAGCUGGUAGUGUUCAGCUUGCUCCAAAGCCUGUUGGAUUGCCCUUAAUGACUACAUUAAGCUGAUCGGAAGCAGAGGGAAGCUGGUAGCUAUGCAAGAUACUGGACUUGCUUUCUGAUUCCAGCUCAGUCAGAGUGCUAUUUUCCUAUAUCUCUGUGAGCCGUGAAUUCUCACUUGGACUCAUCCAGGAGACAGAAAUGUUUCUGUGUAUGGAACUGGAAACAUGGUCACUAGUCAGCUAAAUGCAUCUGCCACUGGUGGAACCUGGAAGAACAACAAACUCACAUUUCUAUGGACUCCUAGCAAAACAUAACCUGUUUUUUUUUCCCCUGAAGAUAAAGAUAAAUUUUCACAGACACAACGCAGCCACACUGUAUUUAUAGCUGCAGAUGGCUGCUCUUUCCCCUUAGCCUCACAAGUAUGUAUAUUAAACAAUAGGAAACUCUG